GAUGAACGCUGACAGAAUGCUUAACACAUGCAAGUCCACUUGAACUUCGGUUUGGGUGGCGGACGGGUGAGUAACGCGUAAAGAACUUGCCUCACAGAUAGGGACAACAUUUGGAAACGAAUGCUAAUACCUGAUAUUAUGAUUAUAUGGCAUCGUAUAAUUAUGAAAGCUAUAUGCGCUGUGAGAGAGCUUUGCGUCCCAUUAGCUAGUUGGAGAGGUAACGGCUCACCAAGGCGAUGAUGGGUAGCCGGCCUGGGAGGGUGAUCGGCCACAAGGGGACUGAGACACGGCCCUUACGCCUUCGGGAGGCAGCAGUGGGGACUAUUGGACAAUGGACCAAGAGUCUGAUGCAGCACUUCUGUGUGCACGAUGAAGUUUUUCGGAAUGUAAAGUGCUUUCAGUUGGGAAGAACAAAAUGACGGUACCAACAGAAGAAGUGACGGCUAAAUACGUG
rnacentral:rRNA from 1 species